rnacentral:tRNA from 1 species
UCCGUGGUGGCUCAGAGGUUAAAGCAUCUGCCUGCAAUGCAGGAGACCCAGGUUCAAUCCCUGGGUUGGGAA